UUUAUCCGUUAACUAAAUUCGAGUCUCACGCUAACGCUACUUAUUUAUAUCUUUUGCUUUUCUGUAUCUUUCACGAUGCUCUCGCAUUCGCGUCUCGCACGCAACUAAAGCAGCUCCAAGCAAGUGAGCUCUUUAAAUAGCUGGCCACGCAACUUCUUACACUCGCAACUUGAGCAUGGGGGUGGGUUGCCAUCAUACCGGCAGGUGAGGCGAGUGUCAACGGUAACAAAUUCAAAUUGAGUGAGCGCGCGUGCUCGAGCUGGCGUCAAACAUGUUGUGUUUUCGUUUUCUGGUUUGAGAGAGUAGCGAGUAUAAGAGUACGCAUAACACGGCGCAUUGUUGUUGCAGUCUACAACAUGCAUGAAACAGCAAAUCCGGUACUCGAAACUUGUAUUCAUUAAGGAAACGUUCAUGGUUAAACAAAAUGUUUGUUGCACAUUCCAUUCAAAGUAUUCAUGCCACGCGAAUGCAUGUAAAUAUGUAUGUAUGUAUACAAAUAACUUGGCAACUGCAACAUUUGAAUACAGUUAGUUGGCGCUUGGCUGGAGCUCCCCAUUGAUUAUGCGUAAUUUGUGAUUAGUCAAUCAUCUCGGUAAUGCCCUGAAACAACGUGUAUAACGGCAUGAUUCAUCGAUAUUACCAAUAUACAAAUAUACAUAUACAUAUAGCUGACUAAACCUACCGCAAAGAUCUCUUUGUGUUGAAAUCUUCGA